GACGAACGCUGGCGGCGUGCCUAAUACAUGCAAGUAGAACGCUGAAGGAGGAGCUUGCUCUUCUGGAUGAGUUGCGAACGGGUGAGUAACGCGUAGGUAACCUGCCUGGUAGUGGGGGAUAACUAUUGGAAACGAUAGCUAAUACCGCAUAAUAACAGUUGUUGCAUGACAACUGUUUGAAAGGUGCAAUUGCAUCACUACCAGAUGGACCUGCGUUGUAUUAGCUAGUUGGUGGGGUAACGGCUCACCAAGGCGACGAUACAUAGCCGACCUGAGAGGGUGAUCGGCCACACUGGGACUGAGACACGGCCCAGACUCCUACGGGAGGCAGCAGUAGGGAAUCUUCGGCAAUGGACGGAAGUCUGACCGAGCAACGCCGCGUGAGUGAAGAAGGUUUUCGGAUCGUAAAGCUCUGUUGUAAGAGAAGAACGAGUGUGAGAGUGGAAAGUUCACA
rnacentral:rRNA from 1 species